rnacentral:lncRNA from 1 species
UGUACCGGUACAGAGUCAAUGUGGAGGCUAUAUACAGGGGGUACCGGUACAGAGUCAAUGUGGAGGCUAUAUACAGGGUGUACCGGUACAGAGUCAAUGUGGAGGCUAUAUACAGGGUGUAACGGUACAGAGUCAAUGUGGAGGCUAUAUACAGGGUAUUACGGUACAGAGUCAAUGUGGAGGCUAUAUACAGGGGGUACCGGUACAGAGUCAAUGUGGAGGCUAUAUACAGGGGUACCGGUACAGAGUCAAUGUGGAGGCUAUAUACAGGGUAUUAUGGUACAGAGUCAAUGUGGAGGCUAUAUACAGGGUAUUACGGUACAGAGUCAAUGUGGAGGCUAUAUACAGGGGGUACCGGUACAGAGUCAAUGUGGAGGCUAUAUACAGGGUGUUACGGUACAGAGUCAAUGUGGAGGCUAUAUACAGGGGGUACCGGUACAGAGUCAAUGUGGAGGCUAUAUACAGGGGGUACCGGUACAGAGUCAAUGUGGAGGCUAUAUACAGGGGGUACCGGUACAGAGUCAAUGUGGAGGCUAUGUACAGGGGGGUACCGGUACAGAGUCAAUGUGGAGGCACCGGUACAGAGUCAAGUCUGAGUAGCCAUUUGAUUCAUUGUUCAGCAGUCUUAUGGCUUGGGGGUAGAAGCUGUUUAGAAGCAUCUUGGUCCUAGACUUGGCUCUCCGGUACCGCUUGCCGUGUGGUAGCAGAGAGUACAGUCUGUGACUAGGGGUGGCUGGA